AUCGAACGCUGGCGGCAGGCCUAACACAUGCAAGUCGAACGAGUGGCGGACGGGUGAGUAAUGUCUGGGAAACUGCCUGAUGGAGGGGGAUAACUACUGGCAACGGUAGCUAAUACCGCAUACCCUCGGAUGUGCCCAGAUGGGAUGCGCUAGUAGGUGGGGUAAAGGCUCACCUAGGCGACGAUCCCUAGCUGGUCUGAGAGGAUGACCAGCCACAGGGGAACUGAGACACGGUCCAGACUCCGACGGGAGGCAGCAGGGGGGAAUAUUGCAAAAUGGGCGGAAGCCUGAUGCAGCCAUGCCACGUGUAUGAAGAAGGCCUUCGGGGUGUAAAGUACUUGCAGCGGGGAGGCGUUACCCGCAGAAGAAGCACCGGCUAACUCCGUGCCAGCAGCCGCGGUAAUAC
rnacentral:rRNA from 1 species